AGCCAAACUCUAGCCCAACCACGCGCAGCCAAGUAAUUAAAAAUCUACUUCACCAUACGAAUUAAACUAAAACAUUCUUCUGCCCCAGUAUGGGCGACAGAAAAGGCACUACUGGCGCUAUAGAGAUCUGUACCGUAAGGGAAAGAUGAAAUAGUAAUGAAAACCCGAGCAAAAAACAGCAAAGAUAAACCCUUGUACCUCUUGCAUCAUGAUUUAGCAAGAACAACCAAGCAAAACGAGUUUAAGCUUGCCACCCCGAAACCCGAGCGAGCUACUCACAAGCAGCUACCCCCUGAGCGAACCCGUCUCUGUUGCAAAAGAGUGGGAUGACUUGUUAGUAGAGGUGAAAAGCCUACCGAGCCGGGUGAUAGCUGGUUGCCCGUGAAAUGAAUCUAAGUUCUCUCUUAAUUUUCUCUUUUUUCCCCCCCGGACAUCCAACCGCAACCACCAUGUGACAAAUCAAGAGCAAUUUAAAGGAGGUACAGCUCCUUUAAAAAAGAAUACAAUCUCCCCUAGCGGAUAACUGCCCAACUGACCCUAAACUGUGGGCCCUCAAGCAGCCAUCAACAAAGAAUGCGUCAAAGCUCUACCCCAAAAAAAUCCAAAAACAACAGGACUCCCUUAUCUAUAACGGGCCAACCUAUAAUAAUAGGAGAAUCAAUGCUAAAAUGAGUAAUCGGGGGCCACCCUCUCGAGCGCAAACUUACAUCACCACAUUGUUAACAAGCCCUAAACUAAUAUCCCACCCUCAAACAAGCUAAGUAUUAAACUUACCCUGUUAGUCCAACUCAGGAGCGCCCAAUUAGAAAGAUUCAAAUCUGCAAAAGGAACUAGGCAACCCUAAGGCCCGACUGUUUACCAAAAACAUAGCCUUCAGCCAACCAAGUAUUGAAGGUGAUGCCUGCCCAGUGACACUCCGUUCAACGGCCGCGGUAUCCUAACCGUGCGAAGGUAGCGCAAUCAAUUGUCCCAUAAAUCGAGACUUGUAUGAAUGGCUAAACGAGGUCUUAACUGUCUCUUGCAGACAAUCAAUGAAAUUGAUCUUCCUGUGCAAAAGCAGGAAUAAACCCAUAAGACGAGAAGACCCUGUGGAACUUAAAAAUCAGCGGCCACCACACACAACCCAAAACCUACCAGGCCUACGACCCCAAGUAAAACACUGGCCCGCAUUUUUCGGUUGGGGCGACCUUGGAGAAAAGUAAAUCCUCCAAAAACAAGACCACACACCUUGACCAAGAGCAACCCCUCAACGUACUAACAGUAACCAGACCCAAUAUAAUUGACCAAUGGACCAAGCUACCCCAGGGAUAACAGCGCAAUCCCCUCCAAGAGCCCAUAUCGACAAGGGGGUUUACGACCUCGAUGUUGGAUCAGGACACCCUAAUGGUGCAGCCGCUAUUAAGGGUUCGUUUGUUCAACGAUUAACAGUCCUACGUGAUCUGAGUUCAGACCGGAGCAAUCCAGGUCGGUUUCUAUCUAUGCCGGGCUUUUCCUAGUACGAAAGGACCGGAAAAGCAAGGCCCAUACUAUAGGCAUGCCUUCCCUCUAAGUAGUGAACCCAACUAAACUACCAAACAGGACACACCAUUUCACCAUCCUAGAAAAGGAUC
rnacentral:rRNA from 1 species